GUGGCGUGCUCUCCUCCACCCGUCGUGGCUGUGUGUGCUGGGCAUGGCUCGCAGCAAACCGAGAUGGCCGAGCAGUCGGAGGAGGCUGUGAAGUACUACACCCUAGAGGAGAUUCAGAAGGACAACCACAGCAAGAGCACCUGGCUGAUCCUGCACCACAAGGUGUACGAUUUGACUAAAUUUCUGGAAGAGCAUCCUGGUGGGGAAGAAGUCUUAAGGGAACAAGCUGGAGGUGACGUUACUGAGACUUUUGAGGAUGUCGGGCACCCUUCAGAUGCCAGGGAAAUGUCCAAAACAUACCUCAUUGGGGAGCUCCAUCCAGAUGACAGACCAAAGUUAAACAAGCCUCCGGAAACUCUUAUCACUACUGUUGAUUCUAGUUCCAGUUGGUGGACCAACUGGGUGAUCCCUGCCAUCUCUGCAGUGGCUGUCACCUUCAUGUAUCGCCUAUACAUGGCAGAAGACUGAACACCUCCUCAGAAGCCAGCACAGG